ensembl:lncRNA
GAGAUAAGCAGAGCGGCAGGGGAGCUCUGGACCCCACAGCACCGGAAUCAGAGAGAACCUACGCUGUCCCUUUGCAUGGCACGUCCUGGCCGGUGCCGUGUCCGGCCCUGAAUCCCAUGUUGCCGGCCCUGGGGUGCCCCUCCUGCCCGCAGCCCUCUCCCUGCCCCGUGCCCCACCGCGCUGCGCCGCCCAGCCGAAAGCACCUUCAGGCGGUGAAUUUAAUUAAGUGUGCAGGGAGGGCUGGGACACGUUUCCAUCCCAAAAGCGAACGGCAGCACCGGGGACCUUGACAGGCGGGAGGAUGCAGAAUAGGGAAUGGGGUCCCCGUGACAAGGGGCUCACGGCCACAGUGCUGCUCCCUGCCCACCCCAUUUCCCCGCAGAGCCGAUGUCACCACAGGGAAAAUGAAAAAGAGGGGUUCAGGCUCAGGCUGUGAUGGGACCGCCCGCGGGCUGCAGCCCGACAGCGCUGCGAGGUGUCGGGAGCACCACCAGCGGUGGGAAUCCCAGUCAUUGCCUUAAAAGGAGAUUUCGGAGACUCUUAUUUGAAAUUGUUUCCUUGUUAUUCAGCUUAUUGAGGGUUUUAUUUCAUUAUUCGCAACAUGACGUGAGGGGCUGUAGAUGCGCUACCCGCAGAAUUAACGGCUAUGGCCGAGGAUGUUUCCGUGGAUUCGGGGGCCAGGGGGACCACUAAAUCAUCCCAUCUGACCUCCUGUAUUCGGAAUUUCACCCAAUUACUCGCGUUGGGCCCAACAACUUGUGUUUUUGAUUCAGGCACGCGUUCCAGCAAGACAUCCUGUCUUCAUUUGGUGACUUCAAGCAAUGAAGAAUCCACCACUCACUUCCCCUCAUUGUUUGUCCUAGUGGUAAAAGCACACAAGGAAAAAACCCCACUGCUGACUUGUUCUGGAUUUGGAUGUGUCUGGCUCACACCAAACCGGGGUCAUUCCAUCCCCUUUCAUCAUCAUGAAGUGGCAAGGACAAGGGGACACCACAGCACCCGCAUCGCCCUCGGCUGCCCACAUGUAGGUGUGCAGCUGAGCAGCACUGAACCCCAGCGCCCCUAUUGGUCUGCUGUUGGCGAGCAGCUCAAGAGUUAACCAACUUCCACCAGAUGUGACCAACAUGUCAAGACACGAGGAGUACGUGGUGUGGAUGUUUAUAAGUACAUCGGCAGAAGGCAUUCAUAAAAGGUUAUAAACCGUGGUAAUAAGCAACCCAUCAACUUGUUUGGACUCUAACACUUGAUUAACCAUUUAUUAAAACACGCAGUAAUCAUUUAUAAGCAGUAAGUGGGACCAAAUGCAAUGUACGACUCUUUGUGUUCACGGAUGCCUCCACAAUUCACUUUACCCUGUGCUGUGUGUCCGUGGCUUAAAGGCUCACCACUGCCCAAGGCACUCUGUCCCCACUGCCCCCUCUGUGUAAGAGCCCCCAGGCAUCCCUGUCCCCAUCAGGCACGGGAUGGGAUCCCAGGAGUGGUGGCAGUAGGGGACCCAGUUUGGGGACCUGAGCCGUAGGUCAGGGGCAGAGCCCCACUUCCUGCAGUCCUCACCCAGUGAUGCGGCGAGGGAACUCAGACACCACAACGGCUUCAUCCUUCCCUCAGCAGGACCCUCCUCGUUGUUUGCCAUCGCGCUCCUGCUGCCCUCGGAGCAGCCAUGUUUUCCUUCUUGGUGUCCUAACAAGACCUAAACCCAUAAUUGCUCCCAUUACACAACCAGGAUUGACAUUUUAUUAGCAAUGCUUCCUGACCUAAUUUAUGCUGAUACCGUUGUGCUCUUCCCAUGGCUGUGGGCAAACAAAACCCUUUGGCUUUCGAGCACUGCAGAUGCACGGGCUGCAGGCGAGCACCUGCCCGUUCCCUGCCUCAGUUUCCCUGCACCAAGCAGGGCCAUGGGUUUGCACGGCAGCAGAUGCUGCCUGCAGCCCUAGGAACAACACAUGGCUGUUCAAAGGAAGCUCGGUAGCGGCCCGGCGGGGGGCUUUUUAGCAUGCGUGUGGUGCCGGGUCAUUUGGCUGUAGCCUGCUUUAAUUGCACAGAGCAUGCAGAAAAGGAAGAGGAAGGAUGAGAAUUGCUUGGGAGCAAAGAUUGCAGAGGGUUUGCCUUGGCUUGGAUGGGAUCGUGCCCCGCUCCUGCUGUCCUACCACGCCACGGGGGCAAGGCAGCCUUGUGCUGCGGAGAUGGAGGUGGGCAGAAAAGGCUGCAGGGAGGGAUGCUGGGGCCACGGUCCUGACCAACCUAUGUCAGUCCCGACCAACCUGUGUCAGUCCCAUGGCUGCUGGGGACGUGGCGCAGCCAGAGCCCUGGGCAGCCACCAGGGAACACAGAACUCCACGUGAGCAGAGCCGCUGUCCAGAGAGCUUCGCUUUGGGGGAAGCGAGGAGGAGCCCGCCAGGCCACCCGCCUCCCUCGCUCUCAGAAAAGAGGGAAAGAAAAUCGUUCUGUCUUUCUUUAUUGUUGUUUGUUUAGAUUUUUUUUUUUUUUUUGGAGGUUUGUAGUUUUGACGCAGUUUCCUGAAAAUCCAGCCUCAUCCUGCCAGGGGCUGAGCAAAUGCACAUCCCGGGCCUCCGCGGUGGGGGAGAGAAGGAGAGAAAGGCAGCGAGGGAGAGAAAAAAGCCUUUGCCAAACUGGCCUGACCAGAAUGUGACACAAGAGCAGGAAAUGAGUCACUCGGCAGGGCAGCUGCUUGCAGGCAUUUCCAUAGAAAGAAACCCCACCAGGCAGGGGAGCCGUGCUGCCCCGUUCCCAGCAACCCCGAGCUUGGAUAGGGCGGCGAGCAUCACCCUGACACCACAGCCAGCAGUGCGACGGCAGCCCCACAUCUGGAAGGGCUGCCCCACGUCUGGAUGAGCAGUUCAACCUGAGCUCCAACCCCAGGCUUGGCUUUCCCACCUGGAGUUGGACAUUCCACCCUGGACCUACCUCAGGAUGAAGGAGACCCAAUGUUUGCUUUGCCCCAUUCUUCAGCAGAGCAGUGGGGUCCACAGCUCUGAAUAACAAACAUAAUCUCUGUACAUCCCGUGCCUCUGACACUCCGUGGGGUGACCUCAGCCACCUCCAACCCUGUGCUCCUAAAGCCUUCCGCUGAGUUUUCAGAUGUACCGCAGCUCCUGCAGGACUGCUCUGUGGGAAUGGGCCUGCCAGGCUUCAGGCGUUGGGUUCCCCUCCCAUCCCAGAACAUUUUUGUUGCUCCCACCUUCCCCUCACCCUGCUGCUUAGGGCAGGGGCAGUCCACAGCAUCAGGUGUGCGGCACAGCAAUCAGGUCCAGCUCAGCCCCAGGAGCUGUGCUAGGUUUUGUCAUUCACAACGUUGGUUUUUACUGUGGCACAGAGGGAAUCUCAGGAGCAUGGUGUGUAGGCAUAAAUGUAAACCCAGGUAGGGAUGUUCUCCAUCCCAAAAUGCUUCCCAUCAACACGAGAGGGGAAAGAGAUAGGCAGAGAAAGAGAUAGGACGGGAGAUCCCAAAUCUAAAUAAAGCUGAGGGGAGCUGAUACCCAUCACUCUGCCUCUUGGCAGAGGUGUCCUGCAAAGGAAUGCACGGAAAGGCUCCGAUCAUCUCAGCCGGGGUGCACUGCAGGAUGCUCACUAUGGAGCGGGGAGGGGGGUGGUUCAACACCGGGGCCAUUGGGAUCUGAGGGCUCCAGACAGGUCCAUGGCCGCAGUUAGGAAGUCCUGCUCUAUCCCUGCCAACCAAUUUGAAGUCAUUUGUGACCUCCUCACCGGUGGGAAAUGGGUUAACGUCGGCCACGUGCUUUAUUCCCUGCACCUUUGGGGCCGGAUACACCUCAUCCCACACAGCAGCUGCAGAACCAUUUGGUGAGAGAGCUGUUGGAGGGGCUGCAGAGGGACCCCACGGGACAAAUGGCCAAUGCUGGCAUCGGGAGCAGCCGACCCCAACCUGACUCGGUGGUGGGACCCCCUUCUGCAGCCCUACUACCCACACAGCAGGCAGCAGGGCACAUGUGCCAGCUGGGCUCUGGUCUGCACUGAUGAUUGCUGGUGGGGAUGUCCUGCACGUCACCAGGGGUGGGACUGGGAGUCUCUGGGAUGAGGGUGGUGCUGAGGAUGUGCAACUCAGUGCAACAGUGGCAGGGGCAGCCUUCACUUUGGAAGAGCAAAAGGACAGGCCCCGGUGAGCUGUCCUCCCUUGAGGCAGCUGUUGGCCACAUCCGUAUCUCUACGUGUAUCUCUAUCUGCAUCCGUAUCCCCAUCUCCAUUCGCACUCCCAUCUCCAUCUCCAUACUAUCCCCAACCCUGUGUCAUUCCCAUUCCAUUCCCAUCUCAUCAUCAUCCCCACCCAAAUCCCAUUCCCAUCUCCAUCCCAACACAUCUGCAUCUCAAUCCGAACA